UCGCGCAUUGAGAGGGUGGGUAUUGUGUACCUAUUUCAGACUAUUCAGACCGUCCAGAGCUGUACGUGGAACCGACUGCCGAUCAAGUGCAAGAGCGUAUACAACUAAUACAAAUAUGUCAGAUGCAGAACGGACUACUAGGACCGCUGCAACUGGUGGUUUAGCAGCGGGUGCCUACACUGGGGCGGUGAUCGGCGCAAUGGUCGGGGGACCGCCAGGAGCGGCCAUUGGGGGCCUCUUUGGAGCCGCGGUGGGCACUAUAACGGUCGGGACUACGGCCGCCUUCGUCACGGGUCAUCGCGGCUAACAAUUGACAAAGGAUAUUGCUCUGCAAAUUUUGGAACAGUAAAUUGUAAACUGAAAUAAAUAAGAUAAGAUAUUAUUUAGUUGUCAAAAUUGUGUAAAAAGUAUAACAUAUAUCGUAGAUGUCAUAUACUAAAGAAAAAAUGACAAAGCCCUCCAUGACGGGGUAGCCUAGAGUCCCCGUUAGCUGCAUAACGCGCCAUUCAUUUAUUACGCAAGAUAAGCGGGUGGGAGGGUGUUUUGAUAGUUCUUACGUAAGAUCCCAAGGAUGCGUAAAGUAAAGAUUAUACCUUGAAAACCUAUUUUUCCAGAUGUUCUAGUGGCAGAUCCACUUUCCAAGUGGGUUUUGGUUUUGGACUGAUUAAAAUCUUAAGUAAAUAUGAAUGAAGUAGAAGAAAACCGCCAACAAACUGUCUCACAGUUUGGCGAAACAUUAGAUUAAGGUACUAAAUAUUGUAUUUUUUCUGUUAAAUUUUCAAUAAAAAAAAAAAAAAAAAAAAAAAAAACUUUGAAAUUAAACCAUAAUU